AGCAGGCCGCGCCCAGAGGCCACAGGCUGCCCACCUCUGGCCUGUCGGCCUCCCGGGCCCCAGCAAAGCCUGAGGGGCCGCCGCCCGAGAGGAGUUGGGUGAAGGGAAGCGGCGAAGCAGGCCCUGAGGAAGAGCUCGCCGUGCUCGUGAGGGAAGUGGCGACAACAUGGCGGCUCCGAGGGGAAGACGAAGGCCGAGUCACUCUGCUCGUCGUUGGAGGCCCGUACGCUACCUUUCUAACGCGACUGUCUUGCUCAUUCACUUAGGGCCUGCCUCCCACACAGACUCCGGUGUCCGAGGAAGCUGGAUCUUCUUGCAGAGGGCCAGGGUAGAACGCCGGAGCACUCUGUAGCGUGCCUCCGGGGGAGCAGGAUUCCGCAUAAGAGCCGCCACUGCAGAGGAGCAGGAUGCAGCUAUCGUAUUGUAUCCCAGACAGCAGCUACUCAACAGGUGUAGCCUGCUCCCACCCAAUUUGGCCCUGUAGGCUCAAAAAAGCCUGCGUGCUCUCUGUAAAAAGAUUUCCAGAAGCUAUUGUGUCGAUAACAAUCUUAAAAAACUGACAAAACCACCUAUAC